GGGUGUAUAGCUCAGCGGGAGAGCACUGCCUUCACACGGCAGGGGUCACUGGUUCAAUCCCAGUUACACCCACCA
rnacentral:tRNA from 5 species